GAUGCGAUCAUACCAGCACUAC
rnacentral:rRNA from 1 species